rnacentral:rRNA from 1 species
GACGAACGCUGGCGGCGUGCUUAAUACAUGCAAGUCGAGCGGACAGACGAGGAGCUUGUUCGGUGCACGUUAGCGGCGCACGUGUGAGUAACACGUGUAUAACGUACUUAUAAGACGGGGAUAACUUCGGGAAACCGGCGCUAAUACCGGAUAAGAUAUUGAACCGCAGUGUGGAUUAGAAAAAGACGGCGGUUUCGGCGGUAAUAGAUGGAUUUGCGGCGUAUGAGCUUGUUGGUGAGGUAGUGGCUUACCAAGGGUAUGAGGGGUAGCCGGCCUGAGAGGGUGACCGGCCACAUUGGGACUGCGAUACGGCCCAGACUCCUACGGGAGGCAGCAGUGGGGAAUAUUGCACAAUGGGCGGAAGCCUGAUGCAGCAACGCCGCGUGCGGGAUGACGGCCUUCGGGUUGUAAACCGCUUUCGCCUGUGACGAAGCGUGAGUGACGGUAAUGGGUAAAGAAGCACCGGCUAACUACGUG